UGCGUAGGCGGAAAAUUAAGUCAGUGAUGAAAUCCUGCAGCUUAACUGUAGAACUGUUAUUGAUACUGAUUUUCUUGAAUUCAGUUGAGGUAGGCGGAAUGUGUAAUGUAGCGGUGAAAUGCUUAGAUAUUACACAGAACACCGAUUGCGAAGGCAGCUUACUAAGCUGAUAUUGACGCUGAGGCACGAAAGCGUGGGGAGCGAACAGGAUUAGAUACCCUGUAGUCC
rnacentral:rRNA from 1 species